AGGUGACAAUCGGUAAACUUCGGCUUUAAAACACGGCAUUUAAUGAGCAGCCAUAUUUGUUAAAUCAUAACAGACAGAGAGAAAAAAAAUGACUAUUAUACGAUAUAUUUGCGUAAAAAAUGACAAAAUCGUGCACAGAGUUCUAAGUUUAUGAUAUAUACAUGCAUUGGUUCAAGAAUUGGAUAAACAUUAUUUUUCACAAC
rnacentral:lncRNA from 1 species